rnacentral:tRNA from 1 species
GGAGGGGACAGCUCAGUGGCAGAGCGCGUGCUUAGCAUGCAUCAGGUCCUGGGUUCAAUCCCCAGUACUUCUA